AUACUUGCAUUUUGGCUAAUUGCCAAAUUAAUUUAAAUCUAUUUUGAAUUUUUUUUAACUAAUAAGGAUUUUAAUUUUUUAUUCUCUUUGUUUCGAUACAAAAUUGUACAUGUGCUGGCAUGGCGCACACAUUGCGUCGGUAGGUGUCUCGCAAGGGUAUGGGCCCAGAUAUCUAAAUCUCUGUCAACAUUAACCAAAUUGCUGUCAUCUUCCUAAAAUGUAUAAUGUGUUAAAUACAAAAUUAGUUUCUUCUCCAACUUGAUUGUUUGUUUAUUGGCAUUAUCUUGGCACUAAUUAUUUUAAUUUUUUUUGGAAAAAUGAUCUUGGCAUCAAUUCGUAAAUGAUCAUACCAGAUAGCACCUGUAAGGCAGUGCGUUCAGGCCACAAGCAUCUUCAAUGGGCAGACAAGGAGCUUUAGGCUAUGUGAGACGUUGUUGCUGUCAAUCUACAAUUACCUCCUCAAGAAUGGAUUUGAAGUGAAGACUUUCUUGGUGGAAUACUGUGAGUUAUGCAAGGAAUGGUUGGCAAAUUCGUUACAGUUGUGUUAUUGUUAUAUUUGUUGUGUUGGAUAUUUGCAUGAACACUGGAGUUUUUUUUUUUAAAGUAAAUCUAAAUCCCUAGGGCUCCAUAUACUCUAUGAUCUUCCAAAUGUAACUGCUGCACUUUAUGAUCUUAGAAUACUAGAGUAUGGCAUCCAUGAUGCAUGUGGUCUCGCAUAUGCAGAGACAUGGAGCUUUGUAAUUCGCACCCAACUGUAGAGUUUGCAGAACUCUGACCUUUUGUAUUUAGUUGCUGUAAAACAUAAUGUAUCUGUGGCUUCGCUAAUGAAGUGGAGGUUUCUGAAA